GGAAGGAUCAUUAACACGUAUCCACGUUAUCAACCCAAGCGAAAUGUAUGUUCUCGACACUGCCUCGUGGUUCACGCCAGCGAGUGUCACUGUGUGUAAAAGCACUUUGACUAUAUUAUUAACUAUACUAACCCCUCCUUACACUAGUUGUCUAUUUAUCUGUUGUUCUAUGCGGUUGAGUGUGUUUAAUUACGCGCUCCGUCACACUGGGCAUCACGUUUAUUUACUUGAACGUUAAAAUACAACUCUUAGCAAUGGAUAUCUUGGUUCUCGCAACGAUGAAGAACGCAGCGAAAUGCGAUACGUAAUGCGAAUUGCAGAAUUCAGUGAAUCAUCAAAUCUUUGAACGCAAAUUGCGCUCUUGGGUAGCCCUAGGAGCACGCCUAUCUCAGUAUCGGUUCAACAACAACUCAGCAGCGUGUGUGUUAGACAUUCGUGUGUCUCGCAUUCGUGUUGGCUGGAUAAUGCGAGUCAGAUUGCUUCAGUGCGACUUGUCUCGUUAAGUAUAUCGAGUGAACAUCUAACGAGCCCAUCACUUCUGUUUGACUUUAUUGACAAGCGGAUAGUCAGUCUCUGACUGUCGAUGCGUGCGAGUGACGUGAAUACUGGCCUUCAUUGGUCUCCUUUUACGUGUAACUUGUUGCCAGCGAUACUCAAGUCUAGGAUCGACGAACGAUGAGUGAGUAAUGUUUUACGUACCGUGGUCACCCACAAUCGAUGACAGUCAAAUGUCAUCUGAAUUUUGAUCUGAGAUUAGGCGAGACAACCCCCUGAAUUUAAGCAUAUUAAUAAGGGGAGGAAAAGAAACUAACAAGGAUUCCCCCAGUAACGGCGAGUGAAGCGGGAAGAGCUCAAUUUGAAAAUCGCUGACCCAAACGGGUCAUCGAAUUGUAGCCUAGAGACGUGCUAUCAGCUGAAACCUGGGUAUAAGUUCUUUGGAAUGAGGCAUCAUAGAGGGUGAGAAUCCCGUAUAUGACCCAAAGCUUUCAGCGUACGAUGCAUGUGCAGAGAGUCGAGUUGUUUGGGAUUGCAGCUCUAAAUGGGUGGUAAGUUUCAUCUAAAGCUAAAUAAUGGCGAGAGACCGAUAGCGAACAAGUACCGUGAGGGAAAGAUGAAAAGAACUUUGAAAAGAGAGUUAAAAGUACUUGAAAUUGCUAAGAGGGAAGCGCUGGACACCAGUGAUAUGCGCAGUCAAUCGCUUGCGACUCCUGUGGGCGAUGUUAGGCAGUUGGUCAAACUCUGCUUGGCGUCGUCGAAAGGGAAGUCGUAGGUUCAUGAUUGUGUGUCAGUCAAGAUCAAUUCGAACUGUGGGAGAAGGUGGCGAGAAAGGUAGGAUGCGUGCAAACGCAUCUGUUAUAUUCUCGUUACUCUACCUCGGCUUGGAUUGAGGAAGUAAUAGUGCGCCGCUUGCGGCUUAGUCCCGUUUCGUCUAGUUAACUACUCGCUCUCAUUGCAAUGCUAUGUUGGUGAGGAUGUCGACUACUGCGUUCGGUGACUCUAUGUGCUAUCACGAUCUUGUACGAAAUGGUGUUCAUCGACCCGUCUUGAAACACGGACCAAGGAGUCUAACAUCUAUGCAAGUAUUUGAGUGACAAACUCUGAUGCGCAAUGAAAGUAAAGGCGGACUCGUUCCGCUGAGGUAGGAAUCCGCGUCAAAUACGGAGGCACUAUCGACCGAUCAUCACUUGUGAAAGAUUUGAGUAAGAGCAUAUCUGUUGGGACCCGAAAGAUGGUGAUCUAUGCCUGAACAGGGUGAAGCCAGGGGAAACUCUGGUGGAGGCUCGUAGCGAUACUGACGUGCAAAUCGUUCGUCUGAUUUGGGUAUAGGGGCGAAAGACUAAUCGAACCAUCUAGUAGCUGGUUCCCUC
rnacentral:misc_RNA from 1 species